rnacentral:lncRNA from 1 species
UGAAGGGAUGAUGGGUGAGCUACCAAGGCUAACUUUUUCCUGAGGACAUUGAGUUAGGGAAGUGGCCUCUCCUUGAGGGAAGGAGCCAGAUGACUUCUCAGAGAACAACAACCAUAUUCAAAAUAUUCUCAAGUUUCUUUUGUUUCUUCUUGUCUGCAUCUGAUAUCCAGGACAUUAUUCCACAGGAAAAGGUUAACAGGAGAUCAAGAUCGGCCAGGAGAACCCCACUAUGAAGCCGGUCAGGUGGGGAGACAGCACUUCCAUUCUCUUUAAAUGACAGAAAUGUCUAAUUUCUGAGACUCUCUGUCUUGUGGAGCACUGUCGUCUUCAUGGACACAGGCAGGAUGGCAAGUAAGUGAAAGGCAAGGACAGUAUGUACUCGAAAGUCUUCAUCUACAUAAAAGCAAGAGGAGAAAGGGC